GCGGCCGCUCUGGUUGAUCCUGGCGGAGGUUACUGCUAUCGAGGUUCGACUAAGCCAUGCGAGUCGAAUGUAGCAAUACAUGGCGUACUGCUCAGUAACACGUGGACAACCUACGCUUAGGUCGGGGAUAAACCCGGGAAACUGGGUAUAAUACCCGAUAGAUCUCGACUGCUGGAAUGCAUCGAGAUCGAAAGCUCCGGCGCCUAAGGAUGGGUCUGCGGCCUAUCAGGUAGUAGUGGGUGUAGCGUACCUACUAGCCUACGACGGGUACGGGUUGUGAGAGCAAGAGCCCGGAGAGGGAUUCUGAGACACGAAUGCCAGGCCCUACGGGGUGCAGCAGGCGCGAAAACUUACAAUGCUGGAAACAGCGAUAAGGGGACCUCGAGUGCCAGGUUACAAAUCUGGCUGUCGUGAUGCCUAAAAAGCAUUGCAUAGCAAGGGCCGGGCAAGACCGGUGCCAGCCGCCGCGGUAACACCGGCGGCUCGAGUGGUAACCGUUUAUUAUUGGGUCUAAAGGGUCUGUAGCCGGCCGGAUAAGUCUCUUGGGAAAUCCAGCAGCUCAACUGUUGGGCUUUCAGGAGAUACUGUCUGGCUCGAGGCCGGGAGAGGUGAGAGGUACUUCAGGGGUAGGGGUGAAAUCUUGUAAUCCUUGAAGGACCACCAGUGGCGAAGGCGUCUCACCAGAACGGACCUGACGGCAAGGGACGAAAGCUAGGGGCACGAACCGGAUUAGAUACCCGGGUAGUCCUAGCCGUAAACGAUACUCGCUAGGUGUCGGCCACGGUGCGACCGUUGUCGGUGCCGUAGGGAAGCCGUGAAGCGAGCCACCUGGGAAGUACGGCCGCAAGGCUGAAACUUAAAGGAAUUGGCGGGGGAGCACCACAACGGGUGGAGCUUGCGGUUUAAUUGGAUUCAACGCCGGAAAUCUUACCGGGACCGACAGCAAUAUGAAGGCCAGGCUGAAGACUUUGCCGGAUUAGCUGAGAGGUGGUGCAUGGCCGUCGUCAGUUCGUACUGUGAAGCAUCCUGUUAAGWCAGGCAACGAGCGAGACCC
rnacentral:rRNA from 1 species